rnacentral:ncRNA from 1 species
UAAGAAAGUCAAGACUCAGAUCCCCUCCCCGAGCUCAGGGUAACUUUUGAAGUGGAGGGGAG